rfam:Felis catus isolate Cinnamon breed Abyssinian chromosome E2, whole genome shotgun sequence.
GUCUAUGGCCAUACCACCCCGGACGCGCCCAGUAUCGUCUGAUCUCGGAAGCUAAGCAGCGUCAGGCCUGGAUAGUACUUGGAUGGAAGAAACAUGAAAGCUUUAAGGCAGCUGUUAUAA